GGCUCCCACUCGGCAAGGGAGGAAAAUAAAAGGAGAAUCAAGUGAAGGGAAAGGAGAAAGGAGGCAGAAGAGAACACAAGAAGUUCCCUUUAACAGGAGGAAAAUGGCUUUUUAGGAAACAGCGAUGAUCUAAAGGACAAAGAAGUUGAUUCUACAGAAAACCAUGAGAAUCUACAAAUUCCACCGUUUAAACAGGUCAGCUUCACCUGUUAUGAUUAGAGUUAACAGAGAAAUGGAUAUCAACAGGUUUCCAGGAAAUAAGUCUGGUGAUGCAAUCACAAAAGAUGAUACCUCACUUUAAAUCUGAUGACUUCAAAGUAGGCCUGAGAUGACUACCCUCAAAUAGGUUGAUUUUGGCAUCAGUAACACUACAGGUAAAAGCGUGCAUUAAAACUGAAGCCACAGCCUGCACAUUUGCUUCUGUAGUCCAGCAUUUAGCUUGUCUGCUGAAGAACGGUUUUAAAAAUAUCCCAGAGAAGAUGACACCACUUAUACUCUUUGACAAAUGAAUUGGGAGAUGAACAGACAUUGAAAAGAAUAUAGGAAAUGUAUCACAUUGUUUAAAAAUAAAGUCAAAAACAUCCUUUAGAAGCUUCAGAAACAAAAG
ensembl:lncRNA novel transcript